GCUAAAAUCAGUCAUCUUCCUGCGAAGGCAUGAGGAGGAAAAGAGAGGAAGUAACUGAGCAGGGUCUGAACUCUGUAGGUCUUCACCACGGCUCAGGAGGAUGAGGAGCAGUGACAGGCCAAACUACGAGAAAAGACAGAGGGAAUCAAACUCAACACUGUGUCUAAACCUCCUCCACCACUGUUGAAGGGAUCCUGGCAUCAGAUGGGGAACAGCUCUAAAUCAAAAUAACCUCACUACUGUGCUUUUCUGUAAAACCAGGUAAAGAUCAGACAAGCAUGAGUU
rnacentral:lncRNA from 1 species